rnacentral:rRNA from 1 species
CGGGUGAGUAAUACAUCGGAACGUGUCUUCUAGUGGGGGAUAACUGCCCGAAAGGGCAGCUAAUACCGCAUGAGACCUGAGGGUGAAAGCGGGGGAUCGCAAGACCUCGCGCUGGAAGAGCGGCCGAUGUCCGAUUAGCUAGUUGGUGAGGUAAAGGCUCACCAAGGCGACGAUCGGUAGCUGGUCUGAGAGGACGACCAGCCACACUGGGACUGAGACACGGUCCAG